CAACUGAGAGUCGGGUGCCUCCACCGAACGUUCGCCACAGUGAUACAAACCCAAUCAACAGCUGUACAAAAACCUCCUGCACUAAAACACACUGACAUCAACACUCACAAUAACACCGCGAGACUGUAUCUUAGUUUAGUUUUGCUUAGAAAGGUCAAAAUUAGAAAUUAACUAUUUUUACAGUAUUUUAUUGAUGUUAAUUGAUUAGAUACAGCCAAAUGUAUUUUGAUAGUUUUUGAGGUAAAUUCCAGGAUGCAUCUGAAUGUGGUUUUGAGAGUAUUUUGCAUAUUAACUGAACACGGUGCUUAAAACUCCACUCAUGAUUAUUAGUGUGUGACACUGACACACACACACAUAAGAAACAAUGAUUUCUCUUAUUCUAAUGCUGGGGACACUCUGUCUGCUUGCUCAAGUGUCUCAUGAAGAGGUUCAGUCUCCUGAGUCUCUGUCUGCUGAAGCAGGAGAUUCUGUCUCUAUCAGCUGCACUGGGACCAGCGGAGUUGAUGAUGAUAUGAGCUGGUAUCUGCAGAAAACUGGAGAAGCUCCUAAACUCCUGAUCUAUAAAGCAAAUCGACUUCAUUCUGGAGUUCCAGAUCGGUUCAGUGGAAGUCAGACUGGACUUAAAUUCACACUCAAUCUACGCAGAGUCCAGGCUGAGGAUGCAGGAGAUUAUUACUGUAUGGGGUAUUAUAGUGGUGGAGUGUGCACACAGUGAAACAGCAUCAUACAAAAACCUCCCUCUGUCAGACAGCAGAGAAUAUGUGAAUACUGAGAAGUUCACAAUGUCAGUCAGUUACGAUAUCAAGUUGUGCUUAAUUAUAUUUGCAAAUAUAGAUAGUACAUCCACAAGAUAAUACACAAUGAUGAAUUAACCAGAGUUUAGUUCAUUGUGAAUGAAACAUGAAAUCCAUGCAUCUGUUUCAGUAUUCACACACAUUUUCAUUCAUCCUUAGCUGCCCUAAUUUGUAGCAUUUUGAACAAAAUGAGUAAAAAUGAAUUGUAAAAUAUACACUCUCACUGAAGAUGCUAAACUUUAACAUUCACAUGUUCAACAGCCACCAACACUUCACUAUGAAAUGAAAGGUUAGUGGAGUAACUGGGAAACCAACCCGAUAUAUCUUUAAUGUACCUCAUGUAUAUGUAAGAUCAUUGACAGCUGGGUGUUCACACAGGUAGUGGGCAGUAGGCUCCCUUAGUCAGAUUACUGAACAUCUUCUAAUGCAACUGUUGGUGCUGAAAAGAGAACAAAAAUAAUCAUUAAAUAUGACACUUAAGCACUCACAAUGUUUAUGUGUUUAAUAUAAUUAAUCAUCCAACCCAACAAUAUAUAUAUUUUUAAGAAAUUUCCAUUCCAUCCUCCUUCUUCUGUAACUUGAUUUAAUCCAGACUAUUUAUUUUUAU